rnacentral:rRNA from 1 species
UGGGGAAUAUUGGACAAUGGGGGCAACCCUGAUCCAGCAAUACCGCGUGUGUGAAGAAGGCCUUAGGGUUGUAAAGCACUUUCAAUUGGGAAGAAAAGCUAGGGGUUAAUAGCCUCUGGUCUUGACGGUACCUUUAGAAGAAGCACCGGCUAACUCCGUGCCAGCAGCCGCGGUAAUACGGAGGGUGCAAGCGUUAAUCGGAAUUACUGGGCGUAAAGCGCACGCAGGCGGUUUGUUAAGUCAGAUGUGAAAGCCCCGGGCUCAACCUGGGAACUGCAUUUGAUACUGGCGAACUAGAGUAUGAGAGAGAGAAGUGGAAUUCCACAUGUAGCGGUGAAAUGCGUAGAGAU